AUACGUAGGUGGCAAGCGUUGUCCGGAAUUAUUGGGCGUAAAGCGCGCGCAGGCGGGAUAUCAAGUCUGUCUUAAAGGUGCGAGGCUCAACCUCGUGAGGGGACGGAAACUGGUAUUCUUGAGUGUCGGAGAGGAAAGUGGAAUUCCAAGUGUAGCGGUGAAAUGCGUAGAGAUUUGGAAGAACACCAGUGGCGAAGGCGACUUUCUGGACGAUGUCUGACGCUGAGGCGCGAAAGCUAGGGGAGC
rnacentral:rRNA from 1 species